rnacentral:rRNA from 1 species
AGCACGGGAGCAAUCCUGGUGGCGAGUGGCGAACGGGUGAGUAAUGUAUCGGAACGUACCUUUCAGUGGGGGAUAACGUAGCGAAAGUUACGCUAAUACCGCAUAUUCUGUGAGCAGGAAAGCAGGGGAUCGCAAGACCUUGCGCUGAUUGAGCGGCCGAUAUCAGAUUAGCUAGUUGGUGAGGUAAAGGCUCACCAAGGCGACGAUCUGUAGCGGGUCUGAGAGGAUGAUCCGCCACACUGGAACUGAGACACGGUCCAGACUCCUACGGGAGGCAGCAGUGGGGAAUUUUGGACAAUGGGGGCAACCCUGAUCCAGCCAUGCCGCGUGAGUGAAGAAGGCCUUCGGGUUGUAAAGCUCUUUCAGCCGGGAAGAAAUCACAUGGGUCAAUACCCUGUGUGGAUGACGGUACCGGAAUAAGAAGCACCGGCUAACUACGUGCCAGCAGCCGCGGUAAUACGUAGGGUGCGAGCGUUAAUCGGAAUUACUGGGCGUAAAGCGUGCGCAGGCGGUUUGUUAAGAUAGGCGUGAAAUCCCCGGGCUCAACCUGGGAACUGCGUUUAUGACUGGCAGGCUAGAGUAUGGCAGAGGGGGGUGGAAUUCCACGUGUAGCAGUGAAAUGCGUAGAGAUGUGGAGGAACACCGAUGGCGAAGGCAGCCCCCUGGGCCAAUACUGACGCUCAUGCACGAAAGCGUGGGUAGCAAACAGGAUUAGAUACCCUGGUAGUCCACGCCCUAAACGAUGUCAACUAGGUGUUGGGUGGGUAAAACCAUUUAGUACCGGAGCUAACGCGUGAAGU